ACAUAAUUUGAAAUAACGUCAAUUGCGAUCUAUAUACCUCACGGUGAAACCGUCGGUUGGUCCAUUAGUCUGAAAUUUAUCUUCAGAAAUGAUCAACUUGAAAUUCGUGUUUCUAUUCUGCGCUUCCUCGGGGUUGGUUCAAGCUCAACAAAGAGAUUUACCCAAGUAUAUUGAGAAGUGUUCUUUGAAGCAUGAGUUUAAACAAUGUGUCCUCAGAAGUGCGAAUAAGGCUAUUCCAUUAAUUGUGAAAGGAGACGCGGACUACAAAAUUCCCAACAUGCAACCACUCCAUGUGCCCUUCGUCAAUUUAUUCAAUACGCCUCAGAUUGUGCUCAAUUUCACAGAUACGAAAGUUUAUGGACUCGAAAACGCUAAAAUGGUCGAUAUAGUCGUAAACAAUGAAGAUCGUUUAUCAUUUACCGCCGCUUUUGAAAACCCUAAUAUCACCCUAAGUGGAGAAUAUAGUAUUAUUGGGACUAUCUUAGCCCUACCACUCAAAGGAGACGGAUUAUAUUCUGUUUCAUUGUGUGAGUUAACCUCAAUUUGUACAUAUGUAAUAAGACUCUUUAACUUCAGCGUUUUGAGAAAAAACCAUAUGAAAUUUUUCGAUUUUUAGUGAAUGGGGUUUAUAAAUAUCCACUUCUUAUUGAAAAAGUGAAUAAUAAUGGUGUUGAUUACUAUCAAACAAAAGGAAAAGCAUUGUUUUUUGAUUUUGAAGACGUCAUUUUUGAUCUAGGCACUAUUUUCAAUGGAGAUCCUGAAGUGGGGAAACAAGUUAACAAAUUGUUCAGUGAGAACUGGAAGGUUCUUCUGGAAGAAUUCAGACCCAGUAUAUCCGAUAUUGUUACAAAUAUCAUAUCGGAGAUCUUCAACAGAAUAGCCAAAGAUGUACCGGCCAAGAAUGUCUUUUUGCCUGAUUGAUUUUCUUUUGUGAUCUUCCAAUGACUGAAUAAAAGAUUGUUUCACUUG